rnacentral:lncRNA from 1 species
UUUACAUCUCUAUGUAUUAUCUAAAGUUUUGUUAAGAUUCUGUGCUACUUUCAUUUCUAAAAUGAGAAAAGCAGAGAUAAAACCAAGAGUUGUUAUCCCGGUCUGUGGAGGGGCAUAUGGGGAUCGAAUCUCUGAGGAAGUAGACCAGACACGGCAAGAACCAAUUUCUGUUGUUGUGAUAAAAGCUUUAGCCUGAGGUUCCAAACUUUAAGCUUCCCAGCUCAGACUUGAUUUUGAACGAAGGGCAGAGUUUUGUGACUAGAGACUAUUUAUCCAUUUAUCUCCCUUCAUAUUUCAUAGCAUGUCUGGAAACCUCAGUUCUCCUAGCUUUGGGAUUUGAGGGCAGUGCAAAAUUGGUUGAUGCUGAAACUUUGUGUGAGGCAGUUCUUUUUUUUCAAUGUUUUCUUUUUCUUCUGCUUUUUCUCCCCAAAUCUCCCCAGUACGUAGAUGUAUAUAUAUUUUUUCAGUUGUGGGUCCAUCUAGUUAUGGCAUGUGGGACGCCACCUCAGUGUGGCCUAAUGAGUGGUGCCAUGUCCACGCCCAGGAUACGAAGCUGCGAAACCCUGGGCCACCGAAGCGGAGUGCGCCAACUUAACCACUCGGUGACGGGGCCGGCCCCUGAGGCAGUUCUUGAAAUCCAGUGUCUCCAGCAAGAGCUGUGUGAUCUUGCCAUGACACUGCCACACUGGCUGUCCUAUCUGGGUUGCUGGGAGAUUCAUGAGUCAUCUGCACAUGGACAAAUGCCGCUGCUUCACACCAAGGCAGGUGAGCACAUCACUGUGGGGUCGCUAUGGUGAAAGUUGACAGCAAACUAAUCCCUGAAUUCAGAUCAUCGGCUCUUGUAGCUUGUUGUUUGAGCUUUGUAUUUAAAGCCACUGCAGCUUGUCUUUAGCUAUAGCUUUUUAAUACAUACAUACUUUCCUCCUAAUUGGCAGACACAAGCCUCCAAUUGUGCUGGCUUCUGCUGCUUUGGAGGGUAAUGGCUUCUCUCAGAUGCUCCUACCAUGCCCACCUUAAUGCAAAAGAACCCUCCAUAUUCAGUUAAAAAAUCCCCCCAAAAUCUAAAAAACCAAACUGGCUAUUUUUGUGUAUUGUAGCCAUAGGAAAACAGAUAGGAAUUUAAGUUUAUUUACAGAAGUGUCAUAUCUUCUCACUUGAGGGUUAGGUUCUAAAA